GUCAUAAUACAAAAUGGAGUCACAUUUGCUUCUACUACCACAACUUCACUACUAAAUUUGAUAAUAGCUAUAGGUUUUUGCCGAUGCCAUUUAUCAGGUCAAGAAUACUCUCUACCCGGAAUCAUGCACACUGUGGCGACUCAGCAAGGCUGCUGUGUGUCCAGCAUCUCAUCUCCCUGCUGCUGAGUAGCAGUCCGUGGCUUCUUGGAGAACAUCACAGCAGGUUACUUACUGUGGAAAUGUCAUCUAACUGCUCAGCCUGCAGCUCAGGGAGGACCCUCUGGAAACCCUGGAUGGCGGGUCAGUCAGUGAAGUCAUUACCGUGAUGAAUGGAUGAUCCACUUCAGGAAGGUGCGGGCCUGAGGUUGGGACCACUGCUGGGAAGCUGAUGAGGUCACUGACCGGAGGAGGCCCUGAAGUCAGUGUGUCAGGAAGACGGGAUGGAAGAGAAGAGAAGGAGACAAAAUCCAUCAAAAUGCGUGCCUGUGUGCGUCUCAUCCAGAAGCACCAGCUGCUCGAGGGCCACCUUGGAGAAGGCAGAGACGGGUUGUAACCGGAGCUUGGAUCGGGGUGUGCAGGUGCACUGCAGUGAAGGCUUAGUUGGGGAGCUGAAGGUGUAUCAGCCUCUUGUGCUCCUGUCCCCAUGUGUGAAAAUACCUGUUGGAUGUUCCCACUCCCCUCAGCAUCUGUCAAGUUGUGGGCCAAUGGUGGCAUUGAAAUUGGCCUCUGCUUUCCAGUUCCCUGCUUAGGGACUCUGGGUUUCCUGUCUCGCCAAUGCCUUUUUUUAAUCUUCUCAACAUUUUUCCAAUUACACUUGUGUCUUAGAUGUAUUUCAGGAACUUACGUGUAUUAGGGAUAUUGAACUUUGCCACGUGUGUAAACAAGUAUUCUCUCUGUAUAUCAUGUUUUCAUUUCUGU